rnacentral:rRNA from 1 species
UGGGGAAUAUUGCACAAUGGGCGCAAGCCUGAUGCAGCCAUGCCGCGUGUAUGAAGAAGGCCUUCGGGUUGUAAAGUACUUUCAGCGGGGAGGAAGGGAGUAAAGUUAAUACCUUUGCUCAUUGACGUUACCCGCAGAAGAAGCACCGGCUAACUCCGUGCCAGCAGCCGCGGUAAUACGGAGGGUGCAAGCGUUAAUCGGAAUUACUGGGCGUAAAGCGCACGCAGGCGGUUUGUUAAGUCAGAUGUGAAAUCCCCGGGCUCAACCUGGGAACUGCAUCUGAAACUGGCAAGCUUGAGUCUCGUAGAGGGGGGUAGAAUUCCAGGUGUAGCGAUGAAAUGCGUAGAGAUCUGGAGGAAUACCGGUGGCGAAGGCGGCCCCCUGGACGAAGACUGACGCUCAGGUGCGAAAGCGUGGGGAGCAAACAGG